UUUUUUGGCUUUUUUGUAGGGCCACACCCAUGGCAUAUGGAAGUUCCCAGGCUAGGGGUCCAGUUAGAGCUCCAGCUGCCAGCCUGUGCCACAGCCACAGCAACAUGGGAUCCAGGUCAUGUCUUUGACCUACACCACAGCUCAUGGCAACACUGGAUCCCCAACCCACUGAGUGAGGCCAGGGAUCGAACCUGCAUCCUCGUGGAUACGCGUCAGAUGUGUUUCCACUGCACCCCACUGGGAACUCCACUGCUGUUUUUGAAUUCACCCAUCCAAUUCUGCUCAAAAACAGUUUUCUCAAUCAGUUCACUAAAAAAAAUGGAUGAUGAGUUUCUUAUGGGAGACUAAGCACCAUCUGACCACAGCAACAAAGGCAGGGAGGGGUUCCCUUGUGGCUCAGUGGGUUAAGGACCUGGCAUUGUCAGUGCUGUGGAUCAGGGGGUUUGAUCCCUGGCCCAGGAACUUCUGCAAGUAGCGGGCACUGACAAACAAACAAACAAACAAAACCAAAAAACAAAGGCAGGGAGACAGUUCUUCCAGACAAAGGCACUCACAGACCACUGGGCAGUGGAAAUAAAUGCCCGGAUAAAAAAUCCACGAUGCCCAGUUACAUUAGACCCUCAAGGAAGCAAUGGAUCAUCUUUGACUCAAAGAAUCCUUAUAUGGUAGAGGCUCAACGGUGAAUAUUUUCCGCAGUUCAUCCUGAACGCGAGGUAAACCGAGGUCCAAAGAAUCCAUCAACAUAAUGCAACAUGUUCACCAAUAAAAGGAAACAAAGCAGGCACAGGAUCACCUUGUUAUCAAAUUGAUCCCCUGGACCCAUGCCCGGGGCCCGACCCAGGGGCUGACUCCUUGUCUCAGCCAGGCAGGUUCUAUUUUUUUUUUUAAUUAAAAUAUAGUGGAUGGACAAUGUUGUGCCAACUUCUGCUGUACAGCAAAGUGAUCCAGUCAUAUAUAUAUAAAUUCUUUUUCUCGUAUUAUCUUCCAUUAGCUUUUAUCCCCAGAAACUGGAUCAAGUUCCCUGCAGGGAGAUCCUUUUCCCACUUGGAUUCGAGCCUAUAAGGAAACAGUGCUGAGACUGGAACAGCACAAAUUUCAUUCAACGGCCAGAGAAGGGAGAAGCAGGAACUUAAUUUGCCAAUCAGCCUCUCAACCCAAUUCAGCCUCCUCCCGAAACUUCCGUAGGAGCAACUGGUUUCUGUUGAAGAGAGGGGCAGGGGUGUCAUUCUGGGGCACCAGCCUUGGUAAAAACCUCCGUAUGCCUGGUAAAA